CAAAACGACUCUCGGCAACGGAUAUCUCGGCUCUUGCAUCGAUGAAGAGCGUAGCGAAAUGCGAUACGUGGUGUGAAUUGCAGAAUCCCGUGAACCAUCGAGUUUUUGAACGCAAGUUGCGCCCGAAGCCUUUUGGUUGAGGGCACGUCUGCCUGGG
rnacentral:rRNA from 1 species